rnacentral:rRNA from 1 species
GGGAGCGUUCUGUAAGCCUGUGAAGGUGUACUGUGAGGUAUGCUGGAGGUAUCAGAAGUGCGAAUGCUGACAUAAGUAACGAUAAAGCGGGUGAAAAGCCCGCUCGCCGGAAGACCAAGGGUUCCUGUCCAACGUUAAUCGGGGCAGGGUGAGUCGACCCCUAAGGCGAGGCCGAAAGGCGUAGUCGAUGGGAAACAGGUUAAUAUUCCUGUACUUGGUGUUACUGCGAAGGGGGGACGGAGAAGGCUAUGUUGGCCGGGCGACGGUUGUCCCGGUUUAAGCGUGUAGGCUGGUUUUCCAGGCAAAUCCGGAAAAUCAAGGCUGAGGCGUGAUGACGAGGCACUACGGUGCUGAAGCAACAAAUGCCCUGCUUCCAGGAAAAGCCUCUAAGCAUCAGGUAACAUCAAAUCGUACCCCAAACCGACACAGGUGGUCAGGUAGAGAAUACCAAGGCGCUUGAGAGAACUCGGGUGAAGGAACUAGGCAAAAUGGUGCCGUAACUUCGGGAGAAGGCACGCUGAUAUGUAGGUGAAGUCCCUUGCGGAUGGAGCUGAAAUCAGUCGAA